rnacentral:rRNA from 1 species
CCCUUAGAUGUCCUGGGCCGCACGCGUGCUACACUGACGCAUACAGCGAGCACCUUCCAGUUCCGAGAGGCUACUGGUAAUCAUCAAUAUGCGUCGUGAUGGGGAUAGAUCUUUGGAAUUCUGGAUCUUGAACGAGGAAUGCCUAGUAAUCGCAGGUCAUUAGCCUGCGAUGAUUAAGUCCCUGCCCUUUGUACACACCGCCCGUCGCUACUACCGAUUUCGAGUGGUCAGGUGAAUCUUUCGGACUGUGGGCGCCCUUGAGGUGUUCGCGGAAAGUCAGGUAAAUCUUAUCACUUAGAGGAAGUAAAAGUCGUAACA